CGCAAUGAACGAAAGUCUGACGGAGCAACGCCGCGUGAGUGAUGAAGGCUUUCGGGUCGUAAAACUCUGUUGUUAGGGAAGAACAAGUGCUAGUUGAAUAAGCUGGCACCUUGACGGUACCUAACCAGAAAGCCACGGCUAACUACGUGCCAGCAGCCGCGGUAAUACGUAGGUGGCAAGCGUUAUCCGGAAUUAUUGGGCGUAAAGCGCGCGCAGGUGGUUUCUUAAGUCUGAUGUGAAGCCCACGGCUCAACCGUGGAGGGUCAUUGAAACUGGGAGACUUGAGUGCAGAAGAGGAAAGUGGAAUUCCAUGUGUAGCGGUGAAAUGCGUAGAGAUAUGGAGGAACACCAGUGGCGAAGGCGACUUUCUGGUCUGUAACUGACACUGAGGCGCGAAAGCGUGGGGAGCAAACAGGAUUAGAUACCCUGGUAGUCCACGCCGUAAACG
rnacentral:rRNA from 1 species